AUGCACUGUGGCUGAACGAGCUGCCGCCACUGGCGCUAUCGCUGCCAUGCGACGGCUGGUUCGAAUUCAGCGUUGCAGCC
rnacentral:tRNA from 1 species